AUUGAACGCUGGCGGCAUGCUUUACACAUGCAAGUCGAACGGUAACAGGCCGCAAGGUGCUGACGAGUGGCGAACGGGUGAGUAAUGCAUCGGAACGUGCCCAGUCGUGGGGGAUAACUGCUCGAAAGAGCAGCUAAUACCGCAUACGAUCUAUGGAUGAAAGCGGGGGACCGUAAGGCCUCGCGCGAUUGGAGCGGCCGAUGUCAGAUUAGGUAGUUGGUGGGGUAAAGGCUCACCAAGCCAACGAUCUGUAGCUGGUCCGAGAGGACGACCAGCCACACUGGGACUGAGACACGGCCCAGACUCCUACGGGAGGCAGCAGUGGGGAAUUUUGGACAAUGGGGGCAACCCUGAUCCAGCAAUGCCGCGUGCAGGAAGAAGGCCUUCGGGUUGUAAACUGCUUUUGUACGAAACGAAACGGUCUGGGUUAAUACCCUGGGCUAAUGACGGUACCGUAAGAAUAAGCACCGGCUAACUACGUGCCAGCCGCCGCGGUAACAC
rnacentral:rRNA from 1 species